GGACAAUGGGCGAAAGCCUGAUCCAGCAAUGCCGCGUGCAGGAUGAAGGCCCUCGGGUUGUAAACUGCUUUGUACGGAACGAAAGCCUGGGGCUAAUAUCCCCGGGUCAUGACGGUACCGUAAGAAUAAGCACCGGCUAACUACGUGCCAGCAGCCGCGGUAAUACGUAGGGUGCAAGCGUUAAUCGGAAUUACUGGGCGUAAAGCGUGCGCAGGCGGUUUGUAAGACAGUGGUGAAAUCCCGGGCUCAACCUGGGAACUGCCAUUGUGACUGCAAGGCUAGAGUGCGGCAGAGGGGGAGUGGAAUUCCGCGUGUAGCAGUGAAAUGCGUAGAUAUGCGGAGGAACACCGAUGGCGAAGGCAAUCCCCUGGGCCUGCACUGACGCUCAUGCACGAAAGCGUGGGGAGCAAACAGGAUUAGAUACCCUGGUAG
rnacentral:rRNA from 1 species